rnacentral:lncRNA from 1 species
UCACAGCUCACUGCAGCCUCAACCUCCUAGUCUCAAGGGAUCGUCCUGCCUCAGCCUCCCAUGUAGCUGGGACCACAGGUGCAUGCUACCACACCUUGCUAAUUUUUGUUAUUUUUUUGUAGAAAUGAGGUCUCUCUUUGUUGCCUAGAGUGGUCUUGAACUCCUGGAAUCAAGCAAUCCUCCCACCUCAGUCUCCCAAAGUGCUGGGAUUACAGGCAUGAGCCACCAUGCUCAGCUUGAAGAGUUUUUAAGAAAAUAUAAAACUGUCAAAUUAUAUGCAAUAAAAGUCAUAUGAUACUUCAAAAUCUGUGAUUCCAUGAAGCCAAGAGUAGCUCUUCAACAGGAAAUGAAUGAGUGCUUCAGCUUCUGAUCCCAUUAGUAAGAAAAUACAGUCUUAUGAGCAAUGAUGGAGCUGCAUCUCUUAGGGGCAUUUGAUUCCCAAGAGACCAAAGCGCAAAGAGAAUGUCAAUUAAAAAAAAUCAAAUGUUUCCAUGACUUAGCUAUUUAACUGCUUUAAAAUGAAUGAAUGCUGCUUCAAGUUCUUUCAAAUACCCCACAUCUUGGCAACAACGAAAGGAAUUAACAUGAAGAAAAUUUACAAUCUUUCAUCACAUCGAACAAUGUCCCACAUUUGAAAAGUUCACAGCACAGAUUUCUGGUUCCUGAAAGAAACGAAAGACCUUCUUUGGAUUUGAAUAAACAGAUGGACUUUCUUCUCCUUUUUCUUAUAGUGCCCGAUUUGUGUAAAGGGAGGUGGGAAGAAAACAUCUUAGCUUAAAAGAGUGUCCUAUAAAAUAAAAGGUUUCAUACUUG